rnacentral:lncRNA from 1 species
CUUGUCGAGGCUAACUUCUAAUAUCGUAUACAGAAAACAAUACAACCAUACAGUUUGACGUUUACUUCAUUAUAACAACUGCUAAGGCGACGUCGCACACUGACGUCAACCCUAGAUACAUAACGGUAAAUUGCGACGUCUUGACUCCCGCGGUAUUCUCGACAUUCUCCGGGCGGCGAAAAGUAAAUAUCAAAUUUAAAUUACAAUCAAGAAAAAAAAAUUAAAAUUACUGUCUCUUAAUUUCAAAACUUAAACUUAAAACUUUAGCACAGUCACUAGCUUCCAGACUAGUUAUCUUUCGGUUCACAAUGAGUCUAUUUCGAUAAUUAACAGUGUCUAUAUUUUCCGCGCACCUGUUCACAUAGUCAAAUAAUUGGUUUUGCACUUAGCCAAUUAAAUCAAGCAUAUUCGUAAAAGUCCAUGAUAAAUCUGAACAGUUAAUAGGUUACGCAUUAUUUAGUCCAUUUUUUAAUAUUUUCCCUGGCUCUUGUGGCUGCUUCUCGGUUUGGCAAUAUCCGGCUUGUGGUCGCACUUGGUUCUUUCUUCUGUCGAGCUUCUUCGUCCUUUGAUGUUUCGAUGUCUGUACAAAGUUCAAGGGGAUACAACUUGACGAUCGGACGUGAUGUGGUUCCAGUUUUGGUUCGAAUAAUAGCGGAACGAACUAGUCCAUCAUUUCCUUUGGUUAGGUUUUCCACAAUCCCGGUUUUCCACAUUAUUCUUCUGUUUUCAUCAUGAAUCUGAACAAUAUCGCCUAUUCUGAUUAUAGUGGAAUUGUUUCCCGUUUUCUUGUGGAAUUCACGCAAUGACGUCAAAUACUCUGUUUUCCAUCUGUUCCAGAAUUGUUGUAAGAGUAAUGAUUGUCUUUGAACACGUUUGAUAAACUUUGUUUUGUUCAUAAAUGUCUCAUUAAACAUGUCAAUUUCACGAGUAUCCAUGUACGGUAAUGUAUUUAUCCUACGUCCAUAAAGAAGAUGAGCUGGCGUAAGUGGUUGAAGAUCCUCCGGGUCUGAAGACACAUAUGUUAAGGGUCGAUCAUUUAAGACGGAUUCUAUCUCUGUAACGAUUGUCUGAAGAGUCUCUAAAUUUACAAGUGAUUUUCCUAGUACUUUUUUUCAGAUUCGUUUUCGUCAUUCCAAUAAGACGCUCCCACCAUCCACCAAACCAUGGAGCACGUUUAGGGAUGAAAAACCAGUCGAUUCCUUGUGCUGAUAAUGUCUCUUUUAACUUUUUUGAAUUACAAAGUUGUUUGAUGUCUUCUGACGCGGAUACAAAAGUAGAACCAUUGUCUGUCAUAACUACUUUUGGUAAAGAUUUUCUGCUUGAAAAGCGCCGAAAAGCUUGUAAAAAUGUUUCUUCUGACAAAUUUGUAACGACUUCAAGGUGUAUCGCUCUAGUAGAGGCACAAGUGAAUAAACAUAUGUAGACUUUUUUUAUGACAUUUUCGUUAUCUUUUACUUGUAAUGCGCCUGUGAAAUCUAUCCCUGUAGCUGUAAAAGGGUCAGCUUCUUGUAGUCGAAUUUUAGGCAAUGGCGGCGGAUCCGGUGCUGCAUAUGGUUGUCCAACAACCUUCCUACAAGUAACACAUUUCCUGAGUGUUUUUCGAACAAACUGUCGGAUAGCGGGUAUCCAAAAACUUUGUCUCAGAUGUACGAUUGUGGCAUUUACUCCGGAAUGACAAAUUCUUUCAUGGGCAUUUAAUACAAUAAGUUUAGAAAUUGUAUGAUCGUUAGGUAAGAUAUACGGAAAUUUAGUGGACUCCGAUAAGGGCGCAUUCUGGAUUCUUCCUCCACAUCUGAUGAUGUUCCUGUCGUCAAGAAAUAAUCUUAAUUGUCUGAUUCUCGGUAAACUGUUCCGUGAUUUACUGUUAUACUUCAAUGCGUUAUAUUCCGUAGCAAAAGCCGUUUCCUGACAAUUUCGAAUCCAUAACUCAACAGAUUUG